rnacentral:rRNA from 1 species
GGACUUGAGAGGGCUUGCUCUCUUAAGUUAGUGGCGGACGGGUGCGUAACACGUGAGCAACCUGCCUUUAAGAGUGGGAUAACGGUCGGAAACGACCGCUAAUACCGCAUAACAUACACGAACCGCAUGGUUUGUGUAUCAAAGAUUUAUCGCUUAAAGAUGGGCUCGCGUCUGAUUAGCUUGUUGGCGGGGUAACGGCCCACCAAGGCGACGAUCAGUAGCCGGCCUGAGAGGGUGGACGGCCACAUUGGGACUGAGACACGGCCCAAACUCCUACGGGAGGCAGCAGUGGGGGAUAUUGGACAAUGGGGGGAACCCUGAUCCAGCGACGCCGCGUGAGUGAAGAAGUAUUUCGGUAUGUAAACCUCUGUCUUAAGGGACGAUAAUGACGGUACCUUAGGAGGAAGCUCCGGCUAACUACGUGCCAGCAGCCGCGGUAAUACGUAGGGAGCGAGCGUUGUCCGGAAUUACUGGGUGUAAAGGGAGUGUAGGCGGGAUGGUAAGUUAGGUGUGAAAUGCGGAGGCUCAACCUCCGAGCUGCACUUAAAACUGCU